UAGCGUAGGCGGUCUUGCAAGCCAGAGGUGAAAGGCUAUGGCUCAACCAUAGUGAGCCUUUGGAACUGCUGGACUUGAGUACAGGAGAGGAAAGUGGAAUUCCUAGUGUAGCGGUGAAAUGCGUAGAUAUUAGGAGGAACACCAGUGGCGAAGGCGACUUUCUGGACUGUUACUGACGCUGAGGCACGAAAGCGUGGGGAGCGAACA
rnacentral:rRNA from 1 species